rnacentral:rRNA from 1 species
GACGAACGCUGGCGGCGUGCUUAACACAUGCAAGUCGAACGGAAAGGCCCUGCUUUUGUGGGGUGCUCGAGUGGCGAACGGGUGAGUAACACGUGAGUAACCUGCCCUUGACUUUGGGAUAACUUCAGGAAACUGGGGCUAAUACCGGAUAGGAGCUCCUGCUGCAUGGUGGGGGUUGGAAAGUUUCGGCGGUUGGGGAUGGACUCGCGGCUUAUCAGCUUGUUGGGGGGGUAGUGGCUUACCAAGGUUUUGACGGGUAGCCGGCCUGGGAGGGUGACCGGCCACAUUGGGACUGAGAGACGGCCCAGACUCCUACGGGAGGCAGCAGGGGGGAAUAUUGCACAAUGGGCGGAAGCCUGAGGCAGCAACGCCGCGUGCGGGAUGACGGCCUUCGGGUUGUAAACCGCUUUCGCCUGUGACGAAGCGUGAGUGACGGUAAUGGGUAAAGAAGCACCGGCUAACUACGUG